GAUGGACGCUAGCUACAGGCUUAACACAUGCAAGUCGAGGGGUAACGAGAGGAAAGCUUGCUUUCCUUGUCGACGACCGGCGCACGGGUGAGUAACGCGUAUCCAACCUGCCCCCAACUAGGGAAUAACCUUGCGAAAGUAAGACUAAUACCCUAUAAUUUCCUCAGAUGUCAUCUGACGAGGAAUAAAGAUUUAUCGGUUGUGGAUGGGGAUGCGUCUGAUUAGCUUGUUGGCGGGGUAACGGCCCACCAAGGCAACGAUCAGUAGGGGUUCUGAGAGGAAGGUCCCCCACAUUGGAACUGAGACACGGUCCAAACCCCUACGGGAGGCAGCAGUGAGGAAUAUUGGUCAAUGGGCGGAAGCCUGAACCAGCCAAGUAGCGUGCAGGAUGACGGCCCUAUGGGUUGUAAACUGCUUUUAUACAGGAAUAAAGUUAGCCACGUGUGGUUAUUUGUAGGUACUGUAUGAAUAAGGACCGGCUAAUUCCGUGCCAGCCGCCGCGGUAA
rnacentral:rRNA from 1 species